CUCGUGUCGUGAGAUGUUGGGUUAAGUCCCGCAACGAGCGCAACCCUCGCUGCUAGUUGCCAGCAUUCAGUUGGGCACUCUAGCGGAACCGCCGGUGAUAAGCCGGAGGAAGGUGGGGAUGACGUCAAGUCCUCAUGGCCCUUACGGGAUGGGCUACACACGUGCUACAAUGGCGGUGACAAUGGGCUAAUCCCCAAAAACCGUCUCAGUUCGGAUCGGGGUCUGCAACUCGACCCCGUGAAGUUGGAAUCGCUAGUAAUCGCGUAACAGCAUGACGCGGUGAAUACGUUCCCGGGCCUU
rnacentral:rRNA from 1 species